GCGUGUGUAUGCGUGUGUGUGUGUGGUGUGUGUGUGUACGUCUGUGUUUGCGUGUAGGCAUAUAUAUACAUGUGUGUCUGUAUUUAUGCUGACAUCAGGGUAACAACCACUGUCGUUUCUCCCCCCCCCCCCAUCUCCACCCGUUAUGUCUCGUUAGCGAGUUCGACAAAUAGAAAACGGUAAACCAGAGUACUGAGGUCGAGAUGACCGACGGAACCCGUGGAAGGGAUGCGAUGCACCAGCAUGGCCGCAGUCUAUAAACCCAGCUGAAGAAUAAAAGAUUACAAGCGGAAAGAACCAGUUUCUAAUCCAGGACCAAGGUCCUUUCAUUGGAAUUUGGAAAUUAUCAGGGUAUCCAAAAACGCUCUUCCUCGCCAAGCAGCUUGGUGGGGUUGCAGGUUUUCUUACCGAUACAUGACUAAUCAGAUCUGAAGACAAACGCACAUAUAUGCACAUUCGUAAGCAUGUGCAUACGAAGCGUUUAGAGUGGAGUAAAAACCUACAGAAUCGGUCCCUAGAGCAGUGGAAGAAUGUUAUUUUCUCGGGCGAGUCAUUCUUUACCUUAUUUCCGACCACCGGCUAAGUAUACGAGUGGAGACAACCAAAAGAAGCAUUUGAUCCAGACAGCCUUCUUCAAAUUCUUAAAAAUGGAGGAGGAUCUAUGAUAAUCAGGGCAGGGCUAUAUCUUGGAAAUCCACCGGCCCAAUGGCUUCCCUUCGUGGCAGAAUUAAUAGUCCAAACUAGUUAAGCAUUCUAUCCUGAUCAAAUUCCACCUAUUAUUGCGGAAGUGUUUCUGGAUGGAAACACAAUCUUUCAGGAUGAUAAUGCACCAAUUCACACAGCUAAAAUUGUUACUGAAUGGCACGAGAUACAUUCUAGUGGAGUUGAACAUCUUAUCUGGCCACCACAG